rnacentral:lncRNA from 1 species
AAUGAAAUAUCAAGGAUAUAAUAGAUAUUUUAGUUCUUGUUUUUAAUAUAUUACUGAAGUUUUAUGAGAUUAUAUACAAUAGAUUAAAACUCAAAACUCAAAGAAAAAUAUGAUAGAUCAAUAAAUCAAAUCUCAUAUAUGAGUAAAUGGCCGCAUCUAAACCCUAAAACCCUAAGCCGUUUUCUCUCUCCUAGAGCAUGGCCACCAAACCCAAAAAGCUCCGUCUAACAUCGGAUCUCCUUGUUUUCAAUCAUUCUUAUGACCUUUUCGCACCCAAACUUUGAUCUCUCAUCCUCUUCAAAAGGAUCGAAGAGCAAGUUUUCCAUCACUCUAUCGCCAUCUAUUGGCAAAAACUCUAGCAUAGCCAAUAUGCUAGCAUCCUCAUCCUCAUUCUCAUUGGGUAUUCAAAACCCUAGUCAAGGAUUUGCUGCCUCCUUGGCCUUCGCAAACGUGAAGGUUACCAAACUCUCAGAUCGUGUCUUUGCUCCUCCGAAAAAGAAGAGAAGACACCCUAUUGGUUCACGAAACACAACGGGUCAGGAGAAGAUGCAAGAGGAAGAGAAGCCUCCCACCAUCACCCAUGAACCAAUUAACACUACCAGGACAAGCACUUUAGCCGACGAAAGAUUUUCGUCGGCCUGUUAUCUUAAUUCGUCGGCUAAGAUCUUAGCCGACGAAGGCUCGUCGGCUAUAGUGUCGUCGGGAAAAGGUCGUCGGUGAUGACUUUAGCCGACGAAAUUUUUUUUUUCGUCGGCUAUAGUCCCACAGUUAGCCGACGAAAAACAUGUUGUCGGUUUUUUUCCCAGACUUUAGCCGACGAAACAAUUAAGAUAUUCGUCGGCUAAAGUGUGUAAUAAAUAAUUAAAAAAUAACUAUAGCCGACGAAAUUUACUAUAUUUCGUCAGCUAAACCUUAUAAAAAAAUUUAAAAAAUAACUAUAGCCGACGAAACAUUCCAUAAUUCGUCGGCUAAACCUUACAAAAAAAAUUUAAAAAUACUAUAGCCGACAAAUAUAGUAUUUAAAUAUCGUCGGCUAAAGUUGCUGGGUUUUGAAAAAAAAAACUGCAGAACCUUUCGGCCACCUCCAAUCACGACCAAAAUUUGACAGAAUCUUCCUCUCAACAUUUCGAACAACUUUCUAGAAGAAGUCGAAGCUCAAUUCUAAGCCUAAACAGGUCAAUCGACUCAAAAUAUAAAAAUCCCCAAUUUUAAACCCUAAAAACUUCAAAUCUUCGAUUCUCUUCACACACACCGAAUCGAGCUACCAAAUUCUAGGGGAAUGUAGUACUAAUCAAACUCAACUUAUCCAUAUAUAGAACUCACCAAAUGGUGGCCUAAGGAAGGAGAAAUUUGAUCGACACCGAAUCAGAACCGGCGGAGUUUUGGAGCUCGAUUUAUCCCUCACGGCGGCGCCACUCGAUGCACCACCUAUCCAGCAAUGAAGUAGAGACGACGGCGAAGCUUUUGGGACAAGUGUGACGGUCUCCGGUGGCUUGACGGCGGAGCUAGGCCGAGAAGAAAAUCUGGCAGAUAAUAGACUUCUUACCAUCCAUCUUCGCCUAUAUAAAGAACUUUAGCCGACGAAAUUCUUUAUUUUCGUCGGCUAAACUCUUUUGAAAAUUUUGGUUGACCACCAAAAAAUUUUGGUUGAAAAUUUUGAAAAUUUUUCGACUUUAGCCGACGACUUUUCAUAUAUUUUCGUCCGCUAAAGUCCUUUGAAAAUUUUCCUCCAACUUUGGUUUACCGCCUAAAAAUUUUGAAAUUUUU